ACGGGACCCGCACAAGCGUGGAUGAUGUGGAUUAAUUCGAUGCAACGCGAAAACCUUUACUACCCUUGACAUGUCCGGAAUCCUGCAGAGAUGCGGGAGUGCCCGAAAGGGAAUCGGAACACAGGUGCUGCAUGGCUGUCGCCAGCUCGUGUCGUGAGAUGUUGGGUUAAGUCCCGCAACGAGCGCAACCCUUAUCAUUAGUUGCUACGCAAGGGCACUCUAAUGAGACUGCCGGUGACAAACCGGAGGAAGGUGGGGAUGACGUCAAGUCCUCAUGGCCCUUAUGGGUAGGGCUUCACACGUCAUACAAUGGUCGGUACAGAGGGUUGCCAAGCCGCGAGGCGGAGCCAAUCCCACAAAGCCGAUCGUAGUCCGGAUUGUUCUCUGCAACUCGAGAGCAUGAAGUCGGAAUCGCUAGUAAUCGCAGGUCAGCAUACUGCGGUGAAUACGUUCCCGGGUCUU
rnacentral:rRNA from 1 species